rnacentral:ribozyme from 1 species
CACCAGCGACACAAACGAAGGACGUGCGGCGACACACCCCAACGAACCGAACUGACGUGCGACGAGUAUUCCGACUAUUCGACCAACACCAACUGACACACCAAAGAAGACCAUGUUUUCCAGAAUCACUUUGAGCAGCAGAGCUAAGACGGCUCAGGUAAACAAGUCCAGGAGUACUGUGUCUACCCCCGUGCAGUGCAACGCGAAUGUUAAUUCCAACUCCAGUUCCAGCAGGAGGCUUUGGAAG